CCUACGGGUGGCAGCAGUGAGGAAUAUUGGUCAAUGGGAGGAAUCCUGAACCAGCCAUGCCGCGUGCAGGACGACGGCUCUACGAGUUGUAAACUGCUUUUGUACCGGGGUAAAAUGCUCUACGAGUAGGGUUUUGAAAGUACGGUACGAAUAAGGAUCGGCUAACUCCGUGCCAGCAGCCGCGGUAAUACGGAGGGUGCGAGCGUUAAUCGGAAUUACUGGGCGUAAAGCGCUCGUAGGCGGUAUGUCAAGUCAAGGGUGAAAUCCCCGCGCUCAACGUGGGAACUGCCUUUGAAACUGGCAAACUGGAGUGUGUGAGAGGAUAGUGGAAUUCCAGGUGUAGGAGUGAAAUCCGUAGAUAUCUGGAGGAACAUCAGUGGCGAAGGCGACUAUCUGGCACAUAACUGACGCUGAGGAGCGAAAGCGUGGGUAGCAAACAGGAUUAGAUACCCUUGUAGUC
rnacentral:rRNA from 1 species